GACGAACGCUGGCGGCGUGCCUAAUACAUGCAAGUCGAACGCAGUGGGGACGGGUGAGUAACACGUGGGUAACCUCCCAUCAGAGGGGAUAACACUUGGAAACAGGUGCUAAACCGAUACUGAUGGAUGAACCCGCGGUGCAUUAGCUGGUUGGUGAGGUAACGGCGCACCAAGGCGACGAUGCAUAGCCGACCUGGGAGGGUGACCGGCCACACUGGGACUGAGACACGGCCCAUACUCCUACGAGAGGCAGCAGUAGGGAAGCUUCGGCAAUUGACGCAAGUCUGACCGAGCGACGCCGCGUGAGUGAAGAAGGUUUUCGGAUCGUAAAACUCUGUUGUUAGAGAAGCGGUAUCUACCCAGAAAGCCACGGCUAACGACAUGCCGGCAGCCGAGGUAAUUC
rnacentral:rRNA from 1 species